rnacentral:tmRNA from 1 species
GGGUGGUCUUAGCGCAAGCUGAGCCGCUGCAGUGUCAUUCACAGGGAAUCGCGAGCAGCGCCGGGUUACUUGGUGUUGCAGCUAAAGGUUAGGUAACUCGCCCCUUGCCGGCCUGCCGGGCGGCUAAGCCGGGGGUUAAACCCAAAUAGCCAGGCUAAGUAUGUAGAUCUGUCUGUGGAUGACUUGCGGACGGGGGUUCGAUUCCCCCCGGCUCCACCA